GUGGAAAUCUUACCCACCUGUACUAGUCUAGCAAAGCUGAGCUGCAAUACUGUAGAUGGCCACUAGAGGGGGCCAAAGGGUUAACAUUUGCUUAUAUGAUUCUGACUUGACACGCUGAACUUGUCAACUAAAGUAGGUAUAGAUGUUCCAGCGCAGGGAAGACCAGGUUAUGCAUGCUUGCCAGAGAGAGAGAGAGAGAGAGAGAGAGAAACUAUAAUCCAGAUAUCAAUUCAAAAUCUUGAAUGUAUAGUUUUAGGUGCUAAAAACAUUAACCCCUUGUGCAGGGUGAUUCAUUCUUGCUUAGUUUUUUUCACAAUGUUUUUUAAAAACAACAACAAACAACAACCUUCUGUUCUGUUUCUGAAGAAAACUGCAGAUCUUGGUUAGCUCUUAUUUAUCAAUUACCGUUUUGAUUUAUAUUCUACCUUUCUACCCAUAGGACACCCAGAACAGCUAUUCUUAUCACAUCUGUCAAAAAGAAAACAAAGGAAGUUUUUCCACCAUCCUUGUUGUCAGGCCUGAAGACAGAGUUAUCCCAGGACUGAUUCCACAGUAGAGUCAGGUUGGACAUUUACAGCAUCAUCAUUCCUUUUGCACAGAGAACCAAAGAAGAUCAGAGUUUGCAGAGGGGGAGGGGAUGACAAAGGUAGCCCUGUCUUGUCACCAUGCAAGUGCCAUCUCUUUGGUAUGUGUGUCGUGACAUUGCGCCCGAGUACGAAAAGGCCAGGGCUUACGGCACAGCAGUACGAAGCUGCUUUUGUCAUUUGGGUGAAAGCAGCUGAACCCGUGGUUGUGUCCACCACCAAUGGGAUUUCCCCUGAGUUCCCUUGGAUUCUUGAAUAACGGUAAAAGGAGUUUAAACAUUAAACAGGAGUUUAAAAAUAAAGCAAGUUUUCUUUCAUGGUUGGUGUCCAACAAUAUUUAUUAAGAAAUCUAUUAACCAGUGCAGCCAAGAGCCAUCUCUCCUUUAUGAACAUGAGUCCACUAGAGUGAUUAUAUUGAUGAUUACUGAGGUCUAUCAGUGGUUUAUCAUAAAAAUAGAGAUAUUAAAAAAGUUAAAGUUCACUAGCACGAUGUGCCUGGAGUCAGACACAACCUCUGAGGCUUUUCCACCUUGGGCUAUCAGCUGUUUGUCUCCCGUGCAUAAGCCACCUGAAAAUGAAGUUCCAUCUUGGAUUUCAACCCUUUUGGCACCAGUGAUGGCCAGGUGUUCUGUCUGGACCGAGGUUAAUGCAGCCCCAAUAGGUGGAUUCUCCUACUUCCUUUCCUCUCCUAUCCCUGCCGGGAAAGCAAGUUUGAGUUGUUGUCCACUCUGUGGACACAUCUUUUGAGGACUGGUGCAGGGAAAAAUCCAUAUUUACAAUUCUGCCUAUCACUUGGGCUGGAAGGGGAAACUUGGCAUGGCUGUUGUCAAUGUAUCCCAAUUAAAACAAAGAAACAAGAAUGGUGACAAGAAACAUGCCCCACUGCUCCUGAUUCCAUUCCUAGAGAUCCAGAUAUAAAUCAGAAGGCAUGGUUUUGCUUCCAUAUAGAUCGCCAGAAAUCUAGGAUAUGAAGGAGCGAAUGGUGACAGGAAAGCAUCUGACAUAUGCAGGUCUGCUUAGAAGUCAGCUUAACCCUUAAGUAUCCUGGCUUUGGAGAACAGGGCUGUCUGAUGUUAGCUACAUUCAGUUGGAGACUGAGGACUGAUUAUAUUUAAGCAGUGCAACAUGAUGGAGGAACAAUGGUUUGUGACAGCUUCAAGUCCCUGUAUUUUAGUUCAAGCUGUGAAAGCUUACCUUGAAAACUUUAGUAAUUGGCAGGAGUUUAUGAUGUGAAUUGCAUUCUCCUUGAAGUAUGAUAACUGGAAUACUGUGCUCCUGGCCAAACAUUAGCCAUUUCUUGGACACAGCUAUGAAGAGCUGCUACUUCUUUUACAUUGCCUUGACUGCCCUUCUUUAUGCAGAAUGUCAAUCCAUUCAAACAAUCAGCUUGUGCCUUCAAAGCAAUGGAAUUUGUGUAUAUAUGAACUGUCCUGAAAAUUUUGCCAGUAUUGGAAGAUGCAGAAAGCAGGUCCCUUGCUGCAGAAGUCAUGAAUAUCUUUGUCUUUGUAAUGGAAUGUACAUCCCAUGAUGAUGAUUUAAAAGACUGAGUGCAACAUACUUUCUGCAUUUCUUUUGGUGAUCACGCUAGAGAAGAGUUAACCAACUGCCUUGAUCUUAUCAUAACUAUGAAGCCCUGGUGUGUCGUCCUCCUUUUCCUCACCUUUGUGAUUCUCUCUGAUCUGGGGGAAGGAGAAAGAAUACUGAAUUCAAGAACGUGCAUUAAACAUAACGGAGUUUGCAGAAAGACCUGUCCUGCCACUGACAAGAAGAUUGGGAUCUGUCAUGUCAACCAGCCUUGCUGCUUACC